rnacentral:tRNA from 2 species
GCAUCAGUGGUUUAGUGGUAAAAUCCAUCGUUGCCAUCGUUCGUUUCGAUGGGCCCCGUGUUCGAUUCACGGCUGAUGCA